rnacentral:rRNA from 1 species
UACGGGGGGGGGCAAGCGUUGUUCGGAAUUACUGGGCGUAAAGGGCGCGUAGGCGGUCAGAUAAGUCAGCUGUGAAAACCUCGGGCUUAACCCGAGGCCUGCAGUUGAAACUGUUUGGCUGGAGUGUGGGAGAGGAGAGUGGAAUUCCCGGUGUAGCGGUGAAAUGCGUAGAUAUCGUAAGGAAGACCAGUGGCGAAGGCGGGUCUCUGGACAGUUCCUGACGCUGAGGCACGAAGGCCAGGGGAGCAAACGGG